GUGGGGAAUCUUCCGCAAUGGACGAAAGUCUGACGGAGCAACGCCGCGUGAGUGAAGAAGGUUUUCGGAUCGUAAAGCUCUUUCGUUAGGGACGAACGUGCUCUUUGUGAAUAAUGAGGAGUAAUGACGGUACCUAAAUAAGAAGCCACGGCUAACUACGUGCCAGCAGCCGCGGUAAUACGUAGGUGGCAAGCGUUGUCCGGAAUUAUUGGACGUAAAGCGCGCGCAGGCGGGAUAUCAAGUCUGUCUUAAAAGUGCGAGGCUCAACCUCGUGAGGGGACAGAAACUGGUAUUCUUGAGUGUCGGAGAGGAAAGUGGAAUUCCAAGGGUAGCGGUGAAAUGCGUAGAGAUUUGGAAGAACACCAGUGGCGAAGGCGACUUUCUGGACGAUGUCUGACGCUGAGGCGCGAAAGCUAGGGGAGCGAACGGGAUUAGAAACCCCAGUAGUCC
rnacentral:rRNA from 1 species